rnacentral:rRNA from 1 species
CCUACGGGGGGCUGCAGUGAGGAAUAUUGGUCAAUGGGCGCAAGCCUGAACCAGCCAAGUCGCGUGAGGGAUGACGGUCCUAUGGAUUGUAAACCUCUUUUGUCGGGGAGCAAGGCCCGCCACGUGUGGCGGGAAGGAGAGUACCCGAAGAAAAAGCAUCGGCUAACUCCGUGCCAGCAGCCGCGGUAAUACGGAGGAUGCGAGCGUAAUCCGGAUUUAUUGGGUUUAAAGGGUGCGUAGGCGGAAGGUUAAGUCAGCGGUAAAAUGGCGGUGCUCAACACCGGCCUGCCGUUGAAACUGGUCUUCUUGAGUGAGCGAGAAGUAUGCGGAAUGCGUGGUGUAGCGGUGAAAUGCGUAGAUAUCACGCAGAACUCCGAUUGCGAAGGCAGCAUACCGGCGCUCAACUGACGCUGAGGCACGAAAGCGUGGGGAUCGAACAGGAUUAGAUACCCUUGUAGUC